AUUGAACGCUGGCGGAAUGCUUCACACAUGCAAGUCGAACGGCAGCACGGACUUCGGUCUGGUGGCGAGUGGCGAACGGGUGAGUAAUGUAUCGGAACGUGCCCAGUCGUGGGGGAUAACGUAGUGAAAAUUACGCUAAUACCGCAUACGAUCUAUGGAUGAAAGCGGGGGAUCGCAAGACCUCGCUCGAUUGGAGCGGCCGAUAUCAGAUUAGGUAGUUGGUGGGGUAAAGGCCCACCAAGCCAACGAUCUGUAGCUGGUCUGAGAGGACGACCAGCCACACUGGAACUGAGACACGGUCCAGACUCCUACGGGAGGCAGCAGUGGGGAAUUUUGGACAAUGGGCGAAAGCCUGAUCCAGCCAUUCCGCGUGCAGGAUGAAGGCCCUCGGGUUGUAAACUGCUUUUGUACAGAACGAAAAGGUUUCUACUAAUACUAGGAGCUCAUGACGGUACUGUAAGAAUAAGCACCGGCUAACUACGUGCCAGCAGCCGCCGUAA
rnacentral:rRNA from 1 species